UGGCUAUCACCGGCCGGCGCAAGACCAACGAACCAUGUCAGGGCGGGAACGCAGCAGCAUUAAGUUGGCCCCUACGGGUGGCUGUGUUGGUUCUCAUUC
rnacentral:SRP_RNA from 1 species